GACGAACGCUGGCGGCGUGCCUAAUACAUGCAAGUCGAGCGCAGGAAACUGACGGAACUCUUCGGAGGGAAGGCAGUGGAAUGAGCGGCGGACGGGUGAGUAACACGUAAGGAACCUGCCUCAAGGAUUGGGAUAACUCCGAGAAAUCGGAGCUAAUACCGGAUAGUUCAUCGGACCGCAUGGUCCGUUGAUGAAAGGCGCUCCGGCGUCACCUUGAGAUGGCCUUGCGGUGCAUUAGCUAGUUGGUGGGGUAACGGCCCACCAAGGCGACGAUGCAUAGCCGACCUGAGAGGGGGAUCGGCCACACUGGGACUGGGACACGGCCCAGACUCCUACGGGAGGCAGCAGUAGGGAAGCUUCCACAAUGGACGAAAGUCUGAUGGAGCAACGCCGCGUGAGUGAUGAAGGUUUUCGGAUCGUAAAACUCUGUUGUAAGGGAAGAACACGUACGAGAGGGAAUGCUCGUACCUUGACGGUACCUUACGAGAAAGCCACGGCUAACUACGUGCCAGCAGCCGCCGCCG
rnacentral:rRNA from 1 species